AGAUUGAUAUUUCACCCAUUCUUGAGAGUCGGGACAAAACAUGUCCUACAUAGAAAAGUCUAAUUUAUUCAAAACAAUUAAGAAAUUCUAAAUGUUUGACAUACUCAAAAAGUUAAAUCUAAUGGAUUUGUGUAUACCAAUCCUAUUUUUUAGCACAGAUAUUUACUUUUUUGGGGGAUAUUUGUUUAAAUGAAACGUCUGUGGUUAGAAGGUCCAUGUUAUUGCUUGUGUCCUCAGCAAGAGGUCACAAUAUUGACCAGCCCCAAAAAACUUUAAAAAACUCUAUAAUUGUGAAAACAUAUACAUCAAAUAAAAAUUCAGGGCUAUAAAUAUAUAAACAAUGAAUGGCCUGAACAUCAAAUAGCUUUUUGCCUAAAAAUCUGCCUAUCAAAGUUGUGUCCUCAGUUUCUGUCAACUCCAUCAGAUUAUUCUAUAAACCUCAUUAAAUCAUGCAAUAUCAUGGUCAGCUAUAUCCCUGAGGACCCCUUUUCAUUUCCUGCUUCUGGUGAAUGCAACACCACCACACAUGGUCUGGUAAGUUUUACAGUUUUUGAUAUUUUAGACAAACAAUGUCAAUAUUUGUAUGGUCACAGCUGGACCAUGUCAACACCGUCUCUCCAUUAUUAUACUUUUUUUUAAACCAUAGUGAGUUCAAUUAAAGUAUUUUAGUGAGAUUAUCAGGACAGCUAGCAACUGCCAAAAAAGUACCUAGCUGCACUGUACAAUAAAUGUUUUGGAGGGAAAAUACAUGCCCUUAUGUCAACUCCGUCAGACGUCAACUCCGUCAGAUUUUGUGUCUGAUGGAGUUGACAUGUAAGCUGAUGGAGUUGACAAAUCCACCUAUAACCUCUUAAUGUGCUGACAUUAUGCUAUUUUUGAACAUGGUUAAGGAUAACAAUGUUAUUCCAGGGUCUUAUCUGCACAUAAAAGUACAUAUAUAGCAUAUAUUACGUUAUUUUACCAUAUACUUCUGUUUUGUAGAGUAGACCAUGGGCAGGCUGUCUGCUUAAUUAUAACUGUCAAACUUUCCCAACACACACACACACACACACACACACACACACACACACACACACCUAAUCUCAUUGAUUGAUUGAUUGAUUAAUGUACAAUCCUAAAGGUGCAGUAUGUAAUUUUCACUACCUAAAAUCUACACACUGGCUUCUUAUAGAGUGCGCAAGAAGUUCUAUGUUGCUCUUUUAAACCCCAGUGUAGGUGGGAUACCAGAUAGAAGAAAAAGGUUAUUAUUUUUACAUUGUUAACUUGGACCCUCAGACCUUGGGCUCUAUUUUUGUGUCCACCGGCGACAUGGCGGAGGGUGGCGAACCCCGCGCAGUGGCAUUUUCGUCUGGCGGAGCUCAGCGUACAGCCAGUUUGGUAUUUUCGUGGACUGAGGUGCACCGAGGUCCGCCAAGCUGGGCGUGGAUGUGUGGCAGGGUGAGGUGUCCACAGAAUCAGCUGGUGCAGUGACAUUUUCGUACUUGUUGCUGGCGUGUAAAGUGCGCUGAAAGCUCGCAGAUUCAAACCUGGUCAGCUUUCAGCGCAGGUGGAUCCGGAUGGGCUAGUGGUAUUUUGGGAGACCGGCGGCAUAUCGGCCUCACCAGCAGGUUUCCACAGUGUCAGGAACAUUUCAGUGCUGAAUGGCUAACCUGCUCCGGGGCAGGUUAGGUUCCAGAUUGAACUCACCAAGUAUAAAAAACCCCACCCACUGACCGAUGAGCUCUCUCGGAAAAUGGCUUGUUCGUUCUUGGAGGCGCGCGAGAGUUUAAUUUUUUUUUCUUAAUGUGUCCCUUCGUCGUAAUUUCGCUGGUGCAACAGAUAGACAAGAUUAUACAAAAGAAAUAAGCCCUUAUUAUUUUUAUGUGCCUUUUUGGGAUAUAUCUGAGCAAUUUCACAUAAUAAUCUGAAAUUCACCAUUUAUUGUAAUUGUAUUACAUAAGCUAUUUGAUGUAUAAAUAGGCAGUGAUGGUAGUACAGGGUCCCCCGCUGGGCCCCUGCAGCGUUACCGCAUGUGUAUCAAGGUCUCCCGUUUUGUCUUUACAUGGUAAGAGAACCUGUAAUGAGCGCCGCUCAAAACACGUUGAAAUAUGUAGGCUACUUUUUAAUGUUAAAAUGCAUUUUACUUAGGCCUACAGGAAAUGUUCAAGAGAUUGAUAUAACACGUCUGUGCUACUGUUGCUGUUAAAUGACAUGAACUGUUAAUUAGAGAUCAUAUCGUUGUUUAAAUUUGCCAGAAAAAAAAAUGCUUGCGAUGUUGACAUGUAGUUACUGUAAGACUGGUUUGUGCUCAAGUCCUAUUUUUUAUUUUUUUAUACAGCUCCGUUUUUAACUCAGAAUUACCGAGAGCUUUUCAGCUUCAAAUUUGUAUACUGGCGAAAAGGCGGAACCAAGUUGUCUAUAGUAUAUACGUUGGUACCAACGGUGAUUGUUUAUGACUGGUCUACCACAAAAUAGCCCUUAUUUAUCAAGCUUGCGUAAGGCAGAAAACUUAUGUACACCUUGCGACGUAAGGAUUGGCAGUUAUCAAUCUGCACAUGAGUGUACGCUACGACCAAAUCUCACGACAGGUCUGACAUCGUGUAGGCAAGUUUGAGUCAGUCUGGAUUUGCGGUGAAAACAAUAAGCAAAAGCAUAAACAGCCAGAUAUUCAGUAGUCAUACUGAUCAUUUUUGUCAUUAUCAUAUUCACCCAUUUUUUACGUAUCAUGAAAAAAAAUUCCACUGGUCUGGUUUUCACAGCAGUCAUAGCUCCAGCACACUGACCAACUUGCAAAAAAAAAAAAAAAAUUCUUUAAUUGGGCGAUGUUUCAGUGUCAAACCUAUAUCAAACAAAGGGGCUCUUUUUUUUCCACUUCUUCGUUCCUGGAUUCUGACACUUGCCGUGUCAUCCUUUGACGCACCAGGCAAAAUAAAUUCCCCUCCUUUUUAUGAAUGGCAGCAAUAGUAAAAGCCAAAUUUUCAUUCGGAGAGAAGCUGGUAAACGGAAAAAAGACAAAAUUUCUGCAUACAAGAUUGCAUAAAAGCAUAAAAUACUCUAAACAAACGGGUCCAAGUCCGGGCGUUUUGAUUAAUGUGACGCAUCGAUUUGUGUCAAGAAUUGUGAUUGGUCAGAUGUUAAUUCUCUCCCCUAUUUAAACAAGAGCUUUGACAGUUGUCAGAUCUCGAUAAUGGCAGCUUCUACUAGAAGAGUAUGCACAGGUGAGAUGGGAGCAGGGAUCUCCUCAUGGAGAGCAAUGAGUGGCUCAUCAUUCACUUUCAGCUUCCAAGGCAUGUCCUGAUAGAUUUAUGCGACAAUUUAGAAGCCUGUUUAAGGUGGGACGCUAGGUGGUCAAACACCUUGCCAGUGCCGGUGCAGGUGAUCGUCACCAUAGGGUUUUUGGCUACUGGGACCUUGCAGAGGGAGAUUUGAGACAGAGCUGGGGUCGACAAUAGCCACGUUUACAUGCAGACUUUUUUCUCAUUCGGAUUAUAAUCAUUCCGAUUGAAGCUCCCAGGCGAACUGUUUACAUGGAAGCGAUCUAUUCUGAUCUGGUGUUUACAUGUGCCACGGCAUUCAAUCGGAACAGCUAUUUACAGACACGUGAUACCUUCAAACAUCACGUGAUUGAUUGAUCACGUGAUCUCCGACGCAGACCAGUGCAUCGUGCUCUGCUUGGAAGCCGCCAUCAUGUUUCCAUGUGAGUCAUACGUCACUGCUUGUUUACAUCAGGACAGAGCAUGCGCAGACAGAACCCAGCCUGACAACUUUCCGAUUCACCGUUUACAUGACAGGAUUUUGCUUUUAAUCGGAAUGGGAAAAGGAAAAUUCUACCCCUGUGAAUCGGAAUGAAAUUCCACUCGGAAUGGGCCUGUUUAUUCCGAAUGAGGUGUUUAUAUGGAGCAUUUUCAUUCCGAUUGGGCUUCUAAUCCGAUUAUAUUCGGAAUAUUUGGCUCCAUGUAAACGUAGCUAAUGAGCAGGAUGAUGCCAGAUGUGUUGGCGGCCAUCAAGUCCACUCUAGGAACUACAUCCAGUUCCCCUGAAUGAUGCCCAGCAAUCUGUGAUUAAAAGGCAAUUUUAUGAGAUUGCUGGGUUUCCAAAUGUAAUUGGAGCGAUGGAUUGUAGCCAUGUGCGUCUGAAGCCACCAUGCAUGAAUGAUUACACAUUUAUCAAUCGCAAAAAUUACCAUUCGAUCAAUUUGCAAGUCAUUUGUGAUGCCAAGCUGGCAUUACUAAAUGUGGUAGCCAAGUGGCUGGGAGGGAUGCACGAUUCUUUUAUACUUCAAAAUAGAAGUGUCUGUGCACGGCUACAGUCAGAGUCAUCUCCUCGGUAAGUGGCCUGAAUAAAUCUGCAAUAGGAUUGAAGCAAAGUCUGAUGUUGUCUGACGUUUCCAUGUAGUUAUUUUUCUAGGUGACAAAGGUUAUGCCCUGACGGAGUACCUGGUAACCCCACUGGCAAACCUGACCACAGAGAGGGAGUGGCAAUUCAUUGCGCACACACGCACAGGUGUCACUGUGGAGCGCUGAUUUGAUCUCCUGAAGGGCAGGUGGUUCUGUCUUGCUCCAGCAGGGGGAAAAUUGCUGUACACACCCGAAAAGGUGUGUGACAUCAAUUUGGCUUGUGCGGUUUUGCUCAACGUGGCGUUGGUAAAUGGCGUGCCAUUGGAUGUGCCGGUGCAAAGAGAGGACGCGAUGCCUAUUGAACCGUGGCAAGGCGACGCUCCACCAGGUGCUGUACUGAUGAGACGGCACCUGACCAACCGCUUCUAAAAUGUUGGUAGGCCUUUAAGUUGAGGAAGUUCUGACUAUUUAACUGAUUUAAUGGC
rnacentral:lncRNA from 1 species